UGAAAUAAGACAAUUCAGUUUUGUACGAAGUUCGUUAUGAAAUGGAGUGGUUGGUGUACUGUAUAGUUGUUGAGAUUGGAUUUCACUCAAAACCCAUCAAAUGACUCCUCCCACAACAUUAUGAUGUUCGCCAAGUUUCGUAGUCAAUCCGAUCUCGAUUGGUAAAUGAAAUUGGACAAUUCAGGUUCUUAAGAAGUUCGUUAUGAAAUGUUGUGGUUGGUGUGCUGCAUAGUUCGGGAGAUUGGAUUUUUUUCACUCAAAACCCACCAAACGGCUCCUCCCACAACAUUAUGAGGUUACCCAAGUUUUGGACUUAGUCCGAUAUCGAUUGAUCCAUGAAAUCGUACAAUUGUAGUUUAUACGAAGUUCAUUCUGAAAUGGAAUGGUGGGAGUAUUGCAUGGUUCUAGAGAUUGGAUUUCACUCAAAACCCUCCUAAUGACUCCUCCCACUAUAUUAUGUUGUUUCCCAAAUUUUGGAAACAAUCCAAUAUCGAUUUGUCCACGAAAUUAGACAAUUCAGGUUCGUACAAACUUCGUUCUGAAAUGGAGUAGUUUGUGUAUUUCAAAGUUUUAGCCAUUGGAUUUCACUAAAAAUUCACCAAAUGACGCCUCCCACCAUACUAUGAUGUUUCCCAAGUUUUGGACUCAAUCCGAUAUCGAUUGGUCCAUGAAAUUGGACAAUUGCGGUUCGUUCGAAGUUCGUUCUAAAAUGGAGUGGUUGGUGUAUUGCAUAGUUUUAACCAUUGGGUUUCACUCAAAAGUCACCAAAUGACUCCUCCCACCAUAUUGUGGUGUUCCCCAAGUUUUAGACUCGAUCUGAUAUCGAUUGGUCCACGAAAUUGGACAAUUCAGGUUCGUACGAAGUUCGUUAUGAACUGGAGUGGUUGGUGUAUUGCGUAGUUUUAGCCAUUGGAUUUCACUCAAAAGUCACCAAAUGACUCCUCCCACCAUAUUAUGAGGUUCCCCAAGUUUUGUACUCAAUCCGAUAUCGAUUGGUCCAUGAAAUUGGACAAUUGAGGUUCGUACGAAGUUCGUUCUGAAAUGUAGUGGGUGGUGUAUUGCAUAGUUCGAGCCAUUGGAUUUCCCUGAAAAGUCACCAAAUGACUCCACCCACCAUAUUAUCAUGUUCCCCAUGUUUUGGACUCAAUCCGAUAUCGAUUGGUCCAUGAAAUUGGACAAUUCAGGUACUUAAGAAGUUCGUUCUGAAAUGGAGUGGUUGCAGUGUUGCAUAGUUCUAGAGAUUGGAUUUCACUCAAAACCCACCAAAUGGCUCCUUCCACAACAUUAUAAGGUUCCCCAAGUUUUGGACUUAGUCCGAUAUGGAUUGAUCCAUUAAAUCGGACAAUUCUAGUUCGUACGAAGUUCAUUCUGAAAUGGAGUGGUGGGUGUAUUGCAUAGUUCUAGAGAUUGGAUUUUGCUCAAAACCCUACUAAUGACUCCUCCCACAAUAUUGUGAUCUUCUUCAAGUUUUGGACUCAGUCCGAUAUCGAUUAGUCCAUGAAAUCAGACAAUUCAGGUUUGUACGAAGUUCGUUAUGAAAUGGAGUGGUUGGUGUACUGUAUAGUUGUACAGAUUGGAUUUCAGUCAAAACCCAUCAAAUGACUCCUCCCACAACAUUAUGAUGUUCCCCAAGUUUUGGACUCAAACUGAUAUCGAUUGGUCCAUAAAAUCGGACAAUUCAAGUUCGUACGAAGAUUGUUCUGAAAUGGAUUGGUU
rnacentral:lncRNA from 1 species